rnacentral:rRNA from 1 species
AGGACGAACGCUGGCGGCGUGCUUAACACAUGCAAGUCGAGCGGAAAGGCCCUUCGGGGUACUCGAGCGGCGAACGGGUGAGUAACACGUGAGCAACCUGCCCUUAGCUCUGGGAUAGCUCCGGGAAACCGGAAUUAAUACCGGAUACGACCUAGGCCGACAUCGGCCAUGGUGGAAAGUUUUUCGGCUAGGGAUGGACUCGCGGCCUAUCAGCUAGUUGGUGGGUAAAGGCCUACCAAGGCGACGAC